rnacentral:rRNA from 1 species
GAUGAACGCUGGCGGCGUGCCUAAUACAUGCAAGUCGAGCGAACAGAUAAGGAGCUUGCUCCUUUGACGUUAGCGGCGGACGGGUGAGUAACACGUGGGUAACCUACCUAUAAGACUGGAAUAACUCCAGGAAACCGGGGCUAAUGCCGGAUAACAUUUAGAACCGCAUGGUUCUAAAGUGAAAGAUGGUUUUGCUAUCACUUAUAGAUGGACCCGCGCCGUAUUAGCUAGUUGGUAAGGUAACGGCUUACCAAGGCAACGAUACGUAGCCGACCUGAGAGGGUGAUCGGCCACACUGGAACUGAGACACGGUCCAGACUCCUACGGGAGGCAGCAGUAGGGAAUCUUCCGCAAUGGGCGAAAGCCUGACGGAGCAACGCCGCGUGAGUGAUGAAGGUCUUCGGAUCGUAAAACUCUGUUAUUAGGGAAGAACAAAUGUGUAAGUAACUGUGCACGUCUUGACGGUACCUAAUCAGAAAGCCACGGCUAACUACGUG